GUCCAGACUCCUACGGGAGGCAGCAGUGGGGAAUAUUGCACAAUGGGGGAAACCCUGAUGCAGCGACGCCGCGUGAGUGAAGAAGUAUUUCGGUAUGUAAAGCUCUAUCAGCAGGGAAGAAAAUGACGGUACCUGACUAAGAAGCCCCGGCUAACUACGUGCCAGCAGCCGCGGUAAUACGUAGGGGGCAAGCGUUAUCCGGAUUUACUGGGUGUAAAGGGAGCGUAGACGGCAUGGCAAGUCAGAUGUGAAAGCCCGGGGCUCAACCCCGGGACUGCAUUUGAAACUGUCAGGCUGGAGUGCAGGAGAGGUAAGUGGAAUUCCUAGUGUAGCGGUGAAAUGCGUAGAUAUUAGGAGGAACACCAGUGGCGAAGGCGGCUUACUGGACUGUAACUGACGUUGAGGCUCGAAAGCGUGGGGAGCAAACAGGAUUAGAUACCCGAGUAC
rnacentral:rRNA from 1 species